UUCGCGUGUCGCCCUUAGAGUUUGAUCAUGGCUCAGGACGAACGCUGGCGGCGUGCCUAAUACAUGCAAGUCGAACGAACUCUGGUAUUGAUUGGUGCUUGCAUCAUGAUUUACAUUUGAGUGAGUGGCGAACUGGUGAGUAACACGUGGGAAACCUGCCCAGAAGCGGGGGAUAACACCUGGAAACAGAUGCUAAUACCGCAUAACAACUUGGACCGCAUGGUCCGAGUUUGAAAGAUGGCUUCGGCUAUCACUUUUGGAUGGUCCCGCGGCGUAUUAGCUAGAUGGUGGGGUAACGGCUCACCAUGGCAAUGAUACGUAGCCGACCUGAGAGGGUAAUCGGCCACAUUGGGACUGAGACACGGCCCAAACUCCUACGGGAGGCAGCAGUAGGGAAUCUUCCACAAUGGACGAAAGUCUGAUGGAGCAACGCCGCGUGAGUGAAGAAGGGUUUCGGCUCGUAAAACUCUGUUGUUAAAGAAGAACAUAUCUGAGAGUAACUGUUCAGGUAUUGACGGUAUUUAACCAGAAAGCCACGGCUAACUACGUGCCAGCAGCCGCGGUAAUACGUAGGUGGCAAGCGUUGUCCGGAUUUAUUGGGCGUAAAGCGAGCGCAGGCGGUUUUUUAAGUCUGAUGUGAAAGCCUUCGGCUCAACCGAAGAAGUGCAUCGGAAACUGGGAAACUUGAGUGCAGAAGAGGACAGUGGAACUCCAUGUGUAGCGGUGAAAUGCGUAGAUAUAUGGAAGAACACCAGUGGCGAAGGCGGCUGUCUGGUCUGUAACUGACGCUGAGGCUCGAAAGUAUGGGUAGCAAACAGGAUUAGAUACCCUGGUAGUCCAUACCGUAAACGAUGAAUGCUAAGUGUUGGAGGGUUUCCGCCCUUCAGUGCUGCAGCUAACGCAUUAAGCAUUCCGCCUGGGGAGUACGGCCGCAAGGCUGAAACUCAAAGGAAUUGACGGGGGCCCGCACAAGCGGUGGAGCAUGUGGUUUAAUUCGAAGCUACGCGAAGAACCUUACCAGGUCUUGACAUACUAUGCAAAUCUAAGAGAUUAGACGUUCCCUUCGGGGACAUGGAUACAGGUGGUGCAUGGUUGUCGUCAGCUCGUGUCGUGAGAUGUUGGGUUAAGUCCCGCAACGAGCGCAACCCUUAUUAUCAGUUGCCAGCAUUAAGUUGGGCACUCUGGUGAGACUGCCGGUGACAAACCGGAGGAAGGUGGGGAUGACGUCAAAUCAUCAUGCCCCUUAUGACCUGGGCUACACACGUGCUACAAUGGAUGGUACAACGAGUUGCGAACUCGCGAGAGUAAGCUAAUCUCUUAAAGCCAUUCUCAGUUCGGAUUGUAGGCUGCAACUCGCCUACAUGAAGUCGGAAUCGCUAGUAAUCGCGGAUCAGCAUGCCGCGGUGAAUACGUUCCCGGGCCUUGUACACACCGCCCGUCACACCAUGAGAGUUUGUAACACCCAAAGUCGGUGGGGUAACCUUUUAGGAACCAGCCGCC
rnacentral:rRNA from 1 species